rnacentral:rRNA from 1 species
GAUGAACGCUAGCGGGAGGCCUAACACAUGCAAGCCGAGCGGCAUUAUUUCUUUAGCUUGCUAAAGAGAUGAGAGAGCGGCGUACGGGUGCGUAACACGUGUGCAACUUACCUUUAUCAGGGGGAUAGCCUUUAGAAAUGAAGAUUAAUACCCCAUAAUAUAUUAGAUGGCAUCAUUUAGUAUUGAAAAUCACGAUGGAUAGAGAUAGGCACGCGCAAGAUUAGCUAGUUGGUACGGUAACGGCGUACCAAGGCGAUGAUCUUUAGGGGGCCUGAGAGGGUGAUCCCCCACACUGGUACUGAGACACGGACCAGACUCCUACGGGAGGCAGCAGUGGAGGAAUAUUGGACAAUGGGUGAGAGCCUGAUCCAGCCAUCCCGCGUGAAGGAUUAAGGACCUAUGGUUCGUAAACUUCUUUUAUAUAGGAAUAAACCUACCCUCGUGAGGGUAGCUGAAAGGUACUAUAUGAAUAAGCACCGGGCUAACUCCGUGCCAGCAGCCGCGGUAAUACGGAGGGUGCGAGCGUUAUCCGGAUUUAUUGGGGUUUAAAAGGGUCCGUAGGCGGGCUAAUAAGUCAGUAGUGAAAUCUUGUCGCUUAACGAUAAAACUGCUAUUGAUACUGUUAGUCUUGAGUGUAUUUGAAGUAGCUGGAAUGAGUAGUGUAGCGGUGAAAAUGCAUAGAUAUUACUCAGAACACCAAUUGCGAAGGCAGGUUACUAAGAUACAACUGACGCUGAGGGACGAAAGCGUGGGGAGCGAACAGGAUUAGAUACCCUGGUAGUCCACGCUGUAAACGAUGCUUACUCGUUUUCGGGGAAUUAUUUUCGGUGACUAAGCGAAAGUGAUAAGUAAGCCACCUGGGGAGUACGAUCGCAAGAUUGAAACUCAAAGGAAUUGACGGGGGCCCGCACAAGCGGUGGAUUAUGUGGUUUAAUUCGAUGAUACGCGAGGAACCUUACCAAGACUUAAAUGGGAAUUGACAGUUUUAGAAAUAGGACUUUCUUCGGACAAUUUUCAAGGUGCUGCAUGGUUGUCGUCAGCUCGUGCCGUGAGGUGUUAGGUUAAGUCCUGCAACGAGCGCAACCCCUGUCACUAGUUGCUAACAUUUAGUUGAGGACUCUAGUGAGACUGCCUACGCAAGUAGAGAGGAAGGUGGGGAUGACGUCAAAUCAUCACGGCCCUUACGUCUUGGGCUACACACGUAAUACAAUGGUAGGUACAGAGGGCAGCUACACUGCGAAGUGAUGCAAAUCUCGAAAGCCUAUCUCAGUUCGGAUUGGAGUCUGCAACUCGACUCUAUGAAGCUGGAAUCGCUAGUAAUCGCGCAUCAGCCAUGGCGCGGUGAAUACGUUCCCGGGCCU